rnacentral:lncRNA from 1 species
GAUCUAACCAUGGAUUCAACAGGUUUCAUCGGGACUCGGGGGGCCGCAAGGAACCCUCUGAAGCUGAAGCUCGCUUCGGGUGGAAGGUUCACCUGGUAAGGAUCACACUAUCCCCACCUUUGAGGACUGCAGAUGGAUGUUUACGUGUGAUUUGUCCUUGUGCAUGGCUGUGGGAGAAGCUUCGAGAGGAAUUGGCUGCGCACCGACCUCAACGUGAUCGGGUUCGGUUUGAUCGGGUGGCUCGCGCCGUCGAGCAUUCCGGCGAUCGGUGGGAAGAGCUUGACGGGGCUCUUCUUCGAGAGCAUCGGCACUGAGCUGGCUCACUGGCCGACAGGCCCAGCUCUCACAUCGCAGUUCUGGUAAGAACUGGUUCCUUCCCGAGGACGACUAGGUUAGAUUCAUGGCUCAUCUUCUUGCUCUGAUCGAGUUGUUUGGGAUGAUGCUGCAGGCUGUGGAUGGUAACAUGGCACCUGGGGCUGUUCCUUUGCCUCACCUUCGGCCAGAUUGGCUUCAAAGGCAGGACCGAGGACUACUUCCCAUAGAAAGAUCUUGUAGACUCGGUGGUGGUUCCUCUCUUUGUAUAUGAGACUUGUUUCUCUCUUCUUCCUCUCCUCCUCUUCUUCUUCUUCUUCUUCCUCAGUUAUGCCAUCUCUGAUCUGUUGAGAUGUAAGGAGAUACAAAUGGACUGAAUGCAUACCACAGAUGAGAAGGGCAUCAAAUCUAAAACAGGUGUUGUGAGGUGUUAUUUUCCACCAGUAUGUGUGUAUCUCUUGGCGUAUGAUAAUUAGAUUAUUGGUUCCAAAAUGCAUCAGAUUCUUCAAAUAUUAGAUCUGGAAAUGCCAUAUCAAUGGAUGUCCAAAUAGAGAUCAAAAGCCAAAAUGAGCAGAUUACAUCUUUAUUAAGAUAAAUUAUUGUAGCAGCCACCCACAGGUUUUCUUCAUAAGCUCAUCAAUCUGAAGAGUCAGAUUAGUGCUUUUAAGCUUUGAGAGAUGUGAGUGACAAUUUAUAGAUUUGGCAAUUUGGAUUCCAUAUUUAUGGAUUCCAAAUAUUGCCUGAUUUAUAGAUU